CUGACGCAUCCGCGACCCGAGGCGUCGCAGGUCCCACCUCGCGUACCAGAGCGGGGACGGGCGUCUGGCUCCGAGGCGCUGGCCGACCUGGUUCCUCAGCACCUGCGGGCCGGGGCUGCUGAGCCAGCCCAGAAAGGUCGUUUCCCUCGCAGUUUCCAGUAUCUUCUGAGAUGUCCAUCAUUCAGUCUGGUCCUCAGUCAUUGAUCCAUACUAUCUGCGACUGAGAUGUCUUCAUUCCUGUCUGCCUAGUCCUUUCAGCUCCACCAUGAGUGUCUCCAGCACCAUCUGAGCCGGACUCCGAGACGACAGCCGUGGCGGAGACUCGUUCCACCGGAGCCAUGGGAUGAGGGACAUGGCCCCCCCAGGCCCUGCCGAGACAGGGCAGGAAUGUGUCUUCCUUGGGCCCCUCUGUCACUUAGGGUGGCGAGAACAAGGGGGAGGAAGCUGAGACCCGAGUGAGAAGACUGCUGCCCCCUCACAGCUGGGUGGCCUCAAUCAAGCUCAAGUGCAGAAAGUUCUCCUGACGUUCUGGAGGAGGGGCGAGGCUGAGGAAAUAAUCCAGGGACAGGAGGAAAGAUGGACUGCAGCCCUCCUUCCACUCCUGUGGCCACAUUUCCUUCUCCAGCCAGAGGAAGCAUUGCAGCUGACUACAGGAAAAUGAGAACCUCACCGUCUCCCAGCUGGCUUGCUUAAGCCCCUGCUGCUUCUCUCUCUCUUUCUUUUCCCUUUCCCCUCUCUUCCAUUUAGCCUCAUUCUGUUAUAUAUAUAUUCUGUUAUAUAUAUAUAAUUCAUUUAUUCACUAGGUGUUUAUUGACCAUCUAUUCUGUGCUAGACGGCACCUUCAUGCCCCAUUUCUGUAGAAUUCACUCACCACUGACUUCUUUUAGGUUCUGCCCUAUGGUUUGACUGAUCUGAGAGCCUGGGCAAAACCGGCCAGCUGUCCAUCAGAGAGUCCUGACAUGUCUUCCGGACAUGUCCCCUCUGGUUUUUCCAUCUUCAUCCCAAGGAAAUAAUUACUCCACCCCAUCUUGUCUGAUGCCUUUGUGCACGAUGGACGCUUUGCCCCAAAUGCCCUCUACCUGGGUGGGGGGGUGGGGGGAGAUGGGUCUUACUUAUCUCUGGAAAUCUACUCUAGUGAUAAACCUCAGUGAACUUUGCCCAGCUGUUCCCUCCUCUCCAGUCUCUGAAGCUUCAUUCUUCUCUCUGUAUAUACAAGCAAUCCUCAUUACUCACAGUUGCAAAGCUGUCUAUUCACUGAAAUGUAUUUGUAGUCCCCAGACCAAUGCUCGUGGCAGUUUUGCGGUCAUUCUGGACAUGUACAAAGUGUUAAAAAAUUCGACAUUCCCAGCCGAAGUGGAACGACGCAGUCCUCUGCCUUCCUGUUUCGACUCUCAGACUGUAAACAAAUGUCCUUCUCCUGGUCUAUUUAGUGUCCCACUUUUCCCACUUUGUGCUUUUUGCUGGUGAUUUCACUGUCUAAAAUGGUCCCCAAGUGUAGUGCUGAAGUUCUAUCUACUGUUCCUAAGCGCAAGAAGGCUGUGAUGUGCCUUAUGGAGAAAACAUGUGGGAGGGUUAGAUGAACUUCAUUCAGGCAUAAGUUUUACUGCCGUUGGCUGUGAGUUCAAUGUUAACGAAACAACAGUACAUAUGAAUAAGGUGUCUUUGAACAGAAACACACAUAGAACAAGGUUGUGUAUUGACUGGUUGACAAAAAUGUCCUGACCAGGGGCUAACCUGGAACCUAACUGUGUAUGUCCCCCGCGAACGGUGGUUCAGUGACAUUCAGAACAUGACAACUGCAGAUAAUGGGCAUCAGUGGAGCUUCGCCCUGUCGGCUGAGUCUCCAGGCAGAAUAAGGCCGCUUCAAGGGCUAGGAGCCCAAGCCCCGGCACGUGGUGAAAGGUCGAUGCGCUUAGAGAAGGCAACAGCCAGGGCACCCCGAGCCUGCUGUCUGUGCUCAGCGGAGGUCCUGGACCCGCCCCUGCCCUCCUGAGCCUGCAGGAGCCUGAGAUCACCUCCCAAGUCCUGGGAUCUGCACCCAAGUCCUCAUCUCAGGCUCUGCUUCGGGGAUGGCCAGAGAGGAAAAGCCAGGAAUGUACGUGUGGUCUGUGAUGUUCAAUACUACCAAGAUUUCAAGUAGAAUGAUGUCCAGGAAGAACCGUUAGCAGCAGGGAGGUGGCGCAAGUCACUGGGGGACGCUGCCAUUGGAGCAUGGUGGGGGGACAAGUACCCCGGGGGCUGCCACCCCAGCGUGCAGAGUCUGUUCUUGCUCUGUGUGGGCUUUAACACAGGGCUUAGUGCCUCCCUCCAUCUCCAGGAAGAAGCAUUCCCUAAACCAGUGUUUACUGAAGACUCUGUAGACAAGAUGAAUAAAGGGGUUUUCACUGCACCCUGCACUGCAAAGUCUGUCAAUUUCCUUUGGACAACUGAUUCUGCUCAGCCCCUCUCACCAGCCACCACCAGAUCCCCCCUUUCUGUUGGCUCCUGUCUCCCAGUCCUGGACACCCCUCCUCCACACAGCCCGGCUGCCUCUCUCUGGGCUCAUACGUUCAGUGAUGCUGGGAGGUGAGCCCAGCGUGAGGCCUGAGGUGCUGAGUGUCCCUGUCCCCCCGGGGUUCCCACAGCAGUAAUGUGUCUCCUCCCACAG